UCUGGUAAUGAUGGCAGAGAGGUCACACCCGUUCCCAUACCGAACACGGAAGUUAAGCUCUCUAGCGCCGAUGGUAGUUGGGACCUUGUCCCUGUGAGAGUAGGACGUU
rnacentral:rRNA from 2 species